GCACGCAUAGCUCAGUUGGUAGAGCAGACGACUUAUACUCGUCCGGUCCUAGGUUCGAGCCCUAGUGCGUGCA
rnacentral:tRNA from 2 species